UUUGUAUUUUUUUAUUAUAGGUUUUUUUCAAGGUCUGCCAUGAUAUAGUGAUUACGAAGUGAUUCCAGCUCAAAAUAUAAAUGCUUUUUGAUGAUUUCGCACGUUCUGGGCCAUACAUUUGAUUUGCUUUCACACCGUGGCCUAAAAAGAGGCUUCGACUUCGUCUUCGGCUUCCUGUUCAACAAGUAAAAGGCCUGCCCAGGUGUGCUAUAUCGUUUAUAUAAAUCUUCAUAUGGAGAUAUAUCUAAUACUGAUUCUAUCGAAAUAAUUGUUGGUUAUCUAGUAGAUACGAUCAUUAUGAUUUGGUAGCGCCUUUGACCCCCUUCAAUCACGCCUCACGCUGCCAUCUCUAGCGUUGAACUACAUCUUCCAAUUUCGGAGUAUUUCAUUUACUUGAGUUUCACUUUGAAAUGCAAACCAGAGGCAAAACGUGGCGCACAACGCAUCCAUAUCCGCUAAUUACGCAGCCACCAGCGGCCUGGCCCGGC